rnacentral:rRNA from 1 species
AUGAUAGGAAUGGUGGAUGCGUUUAGAAAUACUCCUUUAAAUUGUGGUGCUAACAGGAGUACUGCAGGAAUGACUGAUAAAUUCUACUCCUUGUCCAAUGUGAAAUUGCCUCAGAAUGCUGACAACAUACGCUCUACUACCAGUGCUAGAGAAUGUGCAGAAGUUUGCCCAAGAAAUUGCUCUUGCACUGCAUAUUCUUGCACCAAAAGUCGAUGCUCUAUUUGGCAUGAGGAACUCCUCAAUGUAAAACAACAACAUGCUGACACUACCGACACAAAUGAUGGUGCAGUUCUUUAUCUUUGCCUUGCUGCAAAAGAGAUGCAAACUCAGAAACCUGGCAGAAGAGUGACCACUCGGAUUUUGGCAGUUACCAUUGUCGCUGCCCUGGGGUUACUGGUACUCAUAGUGCUAGUUCUUAUAUUGAUGAUUCGGAAGAACAAUAGGAGUUGGUCUGGUGGUAUACUGAUAAAUCCUCAAGACGGUGGAAUUAUUGCAUUUAGAUACACUGAUUUGCUGUGGGCAACAAGAAAUUUCUCGGAGGAGCUAGGUGCCGGCGGCUUUGGUUCUGUGUUCAAGGCAUAUCUGACUGACUCGGUUACAAUGGCAGUGAAAAGGCUUGAUGGUGCUUGCCAAGGAGAAAAACAAUUCAGGGCCGAGGUGACUUCAAUGAGGGUUAUACACCAUAUCAAUUUAGUUAGACUGAUCGGUUUCUGCUGCGAGGGUGAACGAAGGUUGCUUGCAUAUGAGUACAUGCCAAAUUGCUCUCUUGACAUCCAUCUAUUUCAAAACAACAGCACGGUUUUAAACUGGGGUACCAGGUUUAAAAUAGCUCUGGGAGUUGCUAGGGGGCUGGCUUACCUGCAUGAGAGCUGCCAAGACUUGAUCAUACACUGUGAUAUCAAACCAAAAAAUAUACUCCUCGAUGAGUCGUUCAUUGCUAAAAUUGCUGACUUUGGUAUGGCCAAGUUAAUAGGGAGGGACUUUAGCCGGGUUCUGACUACAGCAAGAGGAACCGUAGGAUAA